rfam:Triticum aestivum genome assembly, contig: Triticum_aestivum_CS42_TGACv1_scaffold_557419_7AL
AAAGUACUCCCUCCGUCCCAAAAUUCUUGUCUUAAUUUGUCUAGAUACUGAUGUAUCAAGUCACAUUUUAGUAUUAGAUACAUCCGUAUAUAGCCAAAUCUAAGACAAGAAAUUUGGGACAGAGGGAGUAGUUG